rnacentral:rRNA from 1 species
UUCGCAAUGCCCGAAAGGGUGACGAUGCGACGCCGCGUGAGCGAAGAAGGCCCUAGGGUUGUAAAGCUCUGUCGAGGGUUAUGAAAUAUAGAUGGGUUAAUACCCCAUUUAUUUGACAAAAGCCCAAAAGGAAGCCGCGGCUAACUCUGUGCCAGCAGCCGCGGUAAUACAGAGGUGGCGAGCGUUGUUCGGUAUUAUUGGGCGUAAAGAGCACGUAGGUGGUUUUGUAAGUCAGGUGUGAAAGCCUUCUGUUCAAAGGAAGAACGGCAUCUGAAACUGCAGAUCUUGAGUGUAGGAGGGGAGAGUGGAACUUCUGGUGGAGCGGUGAAAUGCGUAGAUAUCAGAAGGAACGUCGGCGGCGAAAGCGACUCUCUGGCCUAUUACUGACACUGAGGUGCGAAAGUUAGGGGAGCAAACGGGAUUAGAUACCCCGGUAGUCCUAACCGUAAACGAUGGGCACUAAGUAGAGGGGUUUU